rnacentral:lncRNA from 1 species
UCAGCUGAAUUAGAAAAAACUUUCAUGAACAAAUUUAAAGGUUUAUUUAUCAAAAGCAAAUCACGUAAAAGAAAAGAUAGUAGAAAAUCUGUACGGGUCCGGAAAGCACAGAUGCAGACGUGUAGCAACAUACCUCUUGUUCCAAAUAAAAUGAACUAAUUACUGUGAUACUUAUAUUCAUCGUUUCGGAUGAAUUAACCAACCAGAGCUUUCAUCACCAACUAUCUUCAUCAACACCGGAGAGAGCUUCAACAUGUUUGUGCCUUCUGCAAGAAAGAGUUGUCAAAUUCCUAACACUUUCAUUGCAUUCUACCGUCUCAAAAAUGUAGAAGUAGUCUUAAACAGACCUAAUAUGUAAGAGCAGUCAAGGUUUAAAGACGUUUGUCGCUUAAGGUUUUUCCUUGCUAAACAAAGAACAUUACCACGCUGCCUCCACCAUCACCAACAGCACCAUCACCACCACGUCCACUAACACCAUCACCACCACCAACACCAUCACCACUACCACUACUAUCACCAUCAAACACCAUCAGCAAUAGCGAGUCAACGGGGGUGUCUUUACGUGGUCCCCUGAUCUUCAAGAAAUAGCAGCGAAGCUUUUUUGUCGAGGACAGGGCAAAAAGCUAACAAAACGUGCCACGAAACAUUAAAUGUCUAUCCCCAGAGAAAGCAAAUAGGGUAUUUGAAAAGGAGAGGGUGUCAUUUCCCGGGACAGGAAUUUCACGGUGGUGGUGAAGCAUCGAUGAUUUGUUGAUGUAAAUGAUGGAUAACUGAAAUAAAAUAAUGAAGACUAGUGCAAAUUGGCGGGACGGGAAAAAGGACAGAAGGGUUCAAAAUACAUUCGGGUGACAAACUAUUUGUGAAAAAAAAAAAAAAAAAAAACUCGUUAACACACUA